rnacentral:rRNA from 1 species
CGCAGGUGGUUUCUUAAGUCUGAUGUGAAAGCCCACGGCUCAACCGUGGAGGGUCAUUGGAAACUGGGAGACUUGAGUGCAGAAGAGGAUAGUGGAAUUCCAAGUGUAGCGGUGAAAUGCGUAGAUAUUAGGAGGAACACCAGUUGCGAAGGCGGCUCUCUGGACUGUAACUGACACUGAGGCACGAAAGCGUGGGAGCAAACA